AAACUGGGUCUAAUACCGGAUAGGACCACUUGGCGCAUGCCUUGUGGUGGAAAGCUUUUGCGGUGUGGGAUGGGCCCGCGGCCUAUCAGCUAGUUGGUGGGGUGAUGGCCUACCAAGGCGACGACGGGUAGCCGGCCUGAGAGGGUGUCCGGCCACACUGGGACUGAGAUACGGCCCAGACUCCUACGGGAGGCAGCAGUGGGGAAUAUUGCACAAUGGGCGCAAGCCUGAUGCAGCGACGCCGCGUGGGGGAUGACGGCCUUCGGGUUGUAAACCUCUUUCAGCAGGGACGAAGCGCAAGUGACGGUACCUGCAGAAGAAGCACCGGCCAACUACGUGCCAGCAGCCGCGGUAAUACGUAGGGUGCGAGCGUUGUCCGGAAUUACUGGGCGUAAAGAGCUCGUAGGUGGUUUGUCGCGUUGUUCGUGAAAACCGGGGGCUUAACCCUCGGCGUGCGGGCGAUACGGGCAGACUAGAGUACUGCAGGGGAGACUGGAAUUCCUGGUGUAGCGGUGGAAUGCGCAGAUAUCAGGAGGAACACCGGUGGCGAAGGCGGGUCUCUGGGCAGUAACUGACGCUGAGGAGCGAAAGCGUGGGGAGCGAACAGGAUUAGAUACCCUGGUAGUCCACGCCGUAAACGGUGGGUACUAGGUGUGGGUUUCCUUCCUUGGGAUCCGUGCCGUAGCUAACGCAUUAAGUACCCCGCCUGGGGAGUACGGCCGCAAGGCUAAAACUCAAAGGAAUUGACGGGGGCCCGCACAAGCGGCGGAGCAUGUGGAUUAAUUCGAUGCAACGCGAAGAACCUUACCUGGGUUUGACAUGCACAGGACGCGUCUAGAGAUAGGCGUUCCCUUGUGGCCUGUGUGCAGGUGGUGCAUGGCUGUCGUCAGCUCGUGUCGUGAGAUGUUGGGUUAAGUCCCGCAACGAGCGCAACCCUUGUCUCAUGUUGCCAGCGGGUAAUGCCGGGGACUCGUGAGAGACUGCCGGGGUCAACUCGGAGGAAGGUGGGGAUGACGUCAAGUCAUCAUGCCCCUUAUGUCCAGGGCUUCACACAUGCUACAAUGGCCGGUACAAAGGGCUGCGAUGCCGCAAGGUUAAGCGAAUCCUUUUAAAGCCGGUCUCAGUUCGGAUCGGGGUCUGCAACUCGACCCCGUGAAGUCGGAGUCGCUAGUAAUCGCAGAUCAGCAACGCUGCGGUGAAUACGUUCCCGGGCCUUGUACACACCGCCCGUCACGUCAUGAAAGUCGGUAACACCCGAAGCCAGUGGCCUAACC
rnacentral:rRNA from 1 species